rnacentral:lncRNA from 1 species
GAAAGAAUUUAUCCAAAAUAUCAAUUAUGUCCAAAACCAGGUGUCAAUAGUGUAAGAAUUACUAAUACAAUUCAAGAGUCAAAUACAUGGGAAAAAUAACCAUAAAGGAACAAUAACUGUCUCCAAAUACUAGUAAAGACAUAACUACUAUAGAAAGAUAGAGGUGAACUUCGGACGCAUGAAUGUCCAACCGCUACCUUGGAAGCUCCAACAAUCGCCCAAGUCAAUCAAGCUGAGGCGCACUCGAGCUAGGACCUACUCCGAAAGGGCGCAAUAGGCAUAGUACGGUCCACUUGUACUCAGUAGGUGUCAUAGGCUGACAAAGCAAAGUAGUAAAUAAAACAUAUAAAAUAUACAUUAAGGGCACGUCGCCUGAAAUUAGAAAAUAUCCCACAACAGUAGCCCACACCGCUUGCACUACAACAACAACAACAACAAACCCAGUAUAUUACUAGAUAGUGGGGUCUGGGGAGGGUAGAAUGUACGCAGUCCAUACCACUACAUCCGAAUAAGUAGAGAGGUUGUUUUCGAUAGACCCCUGGCUUAAGAAAAGGACCGAGACUGUGUUCAAAUAUUGCAAGAAUACAACAUGAUAAAAUAACAACAAUAUAAUAACCUCAAAUAAGUACAUGAACCAACAAAAGACACCCUCUCCCCCCAACCCUAGCCCUACCAACCAAGCUACAAGAAAUUCUUCUAACUCUAGCCUAUGACUUAACCACAUCCCUUAGCCCUCUUCCUAUCAAGGGUCAUGUCCUCCAACACCGCUUGCACUAACAGUUCUAAUAUAUCUUACAUAUAUUACAACAACACACUAAGAUACAGAACAUAAGUAUACAUUAUGUCACAUAUAAAUAAAACAAGAGAGAACAUGUAGAUACAAUAUCAUCAAAUACAAGUAAAGGAAAGUAAGACAAAUAUAUAGACGACAAAUCAAUAAGGCUAUACAACACAACAUAAACAAAAUAAAGUAAGUGCAAUGUAUAUGAUGAUGAUAAUGAUGCACGAGGUCAUUGCACAACCUAUGAUACAAGAAUGACCAAGGAAGACACAAAAAUCACACACCAAAAUAGUCCACUAGUCAAGAAACCGUGGACCUCUUUGAUGACCACACUCAGAUUCAAGAAUAACGACAAGAACACAGGAGAAUAAGGUGUUUAACACCUAUUGGAAGCCAACAAUCCCAAACUAUAUUAACAAUAGGACGAAGAACAACAACAUCAUAACAACAAGAAAAAUAUAGGUUACAAUACAAGACACUACCAAUGGUUACAACAAAAUAAAGAUAGAAAGAUAGACAAAUGGAUGGUAUAAUCCUAAGAACCCAAGAGCUUAUUACACUCUUGAACCCUUAAAACUACACACAACUAUCACCUAUCUCUUACAAUUGACACAAGAGAGGCGUCCACCAUCCAAGCACCAACGUAUCAAGCAAAAUACAACACGUAAAUGAUUCCACACUUAUGCAAUGCCCUAGUUUUGGUUGGACUCUCUCUCACUAUAAGAGAAGUGUUAUUUCAAUAAUAAUAAUCAACUAAAGAAAUAAACUCUACAAUGUUCUAUUUAUACUACAUUACAAUAAUAGAUAAAAUGACAAAAGGGCUUUUUAGUGACUAGUCUACAAAAAUACUCAAAAAGUGUCAUAAUCAUGAUCAUACUUGUAUCAUCCUCUCCAUCUUGAGAGGAAUUUGACCACAAAUUCACGGGCUCACCUCUUUUAUAAAGGCACUUUACAAUCUUCUUCUUGCGGCCACACAUCUUCUCCAUACUCUUCAAUUUGCACUUUGGCUUCUUCUCGCUCCCCAUCUUAUGGUUUGCCAUCAUUCUUAACUGAUUCAAUGCCCAUAUCUUCUCUAAGAUAGUACAAUCUACCCUCUUUUUGGAUUAUAUUCCUCCAGUUUGGGCACUCACUAGCCUUGUGCCCCCACCCUUGACACUUGAAGCAUUAAAACCCCUUGGGAUUGGAAGUAGAAUUUAAUUUACCUUCAUACAUUAGAGGAUGUUUUUGGAUAGCCUUGGUGGCCUCGGGUUGGGAAGCCAUGAAUGAGUUCUCUUUGAGCUCUCUCUCAACCUCUAAAGCCGCGUGGAAGAUGCCAUCUACGGUGAUAAAUUUGUGAAGAGUCAUGCGAGUGGAGAUGUCCUUGUUUAACCCAAACUUGAAGCACAAAAUAUAAUAACUUACUUGCUUGCCUCGAUAGUCAAGUUUCAACAUCAAUUGUUGAAAUUCAUCAUAGUAAGCCAUGACACUCUUGCUUCCUUGCCUCAAAUUGUAUAAUUUGGCAAGGAGCUCAUGCCUAUAAGUUUUGGGCAAGUACCUUUGCCGCAUAAGGUUCUUCAGCCGAAACCAAGGAGGAGGUUAUCCCUCAAUCAUCUCAUUCCCAAACCGUUUAACAUACUCCCACCAUGUAUUAGCAUACCCUUCGAAGUGAGCUAUAGCAUAACAACUUUUCUUUUCUUCGGUAAGAUCAUUAAGUUGGAAGAUCUUGUCACAAGAUGACUCCCAUGCAACGUAGGCUUCGGGAUCACACUCACCUUUGAAAAUGGGAAGACUCACUUUGAUAGAAUUGAGACCUACAUCUUAGUUUGGGUGGACAUCUCUCACCUCUCAGCCUAACUCUUCAUGUCCACCCCUUAUUCUUUCUUCCCUCAAGUAAAUAUCAUCUUAAGGCCUAUAACCAUUAUGUUGUCCUCCCCUACCAUAGCCCUCAAUAUGUAUGGGUUUAUUUAGGUUAAGUGGAGUUUAUAGUGGCGGGAUUGAAUUUGGAUAGUGAGGUUUUUGGUCAAGUGGAGUUUGGAUGAGAGGGUUCGGGUUUGGUGGUGGUAUUUGGAUUUCAAGCCCGUCUUGUUAGACUUGGUGGAGUGGAGGAUGGUUUGGUCUAUCUUAUUCUCGGCUUUAGGAAUAAAAAUUGGUUGGAUUUGUGGCAAUUGGUAGAUAUAGUAUUUGGUGCAAGGUCUCGGGAGUAUUAGUUGGGGAAUUAUUUUGAGGGGUGGAAGGUCGACUCUUUUGGCUUUCCAUAUGUUCUAAUCUCUCACUCAUUGAUGCCAUAUUCGUAUCUAAUUUCUCAAGACCCACAUUCAACCUAGCCACAUCUCGAGACAUAGUUUCAAGGCAAUCCAAAAUGAGAUUGAUGGCAUUAUUGUCCAUUGUUUGAGCAUUUGAUGCCUCGGGUUCCAUUGUAGUUGUACCAAAAAUAACACUUCAAGUUAUGGUCCAACAAGACACCCAAUCAGUCCACAACGCCAUACAAUAAUACAACACAAAUCCUACAAAACAAAACAUACGUUAGUUUAAAACAACCUCCCAUAAUGAGAUCCCACCUUCAAGUUUCUUUAAACUCAAGCUCAACAAUGGUGGAUGGCUCAAAUCACCUCCAAUUUAGCUCAAAUUCGAAUCCUAUACUUCUAUAGUGUUAGAGAACACAAAUCUAACACUUAAAACACAAGAAAAACACAAAAUCAAAAACUCAAAAUUUGACCUAGGAUCAAAAACGGAUUUAGUAUUUUUUUUGGAGAUUUUUUAUUUUGACACUUCUUUUUUGUUGAAAUUUUUAAUUUCUAGACUCUAAUAGUGUUAGGGAACAAGGAUCUAACACUAGAAACACACAAAAAUCAAGUCUCAAAAAUUUAAAAACCCUAAAAGCGUGAAUAAUAACUUUUUUCUUCUUUUUUACUUCUUUUUUUAUUUUCAAGAUAACAAUCCCAAGAUUGAUUUUGUUGGAACAAAAUCAAACCUUGCUCUGAUACCAAAUAAUACGAGAAUGACCAAGGAAGACAUAAAAACCACACACCAAAACAGUCCACUAGUCAAGAAAUCGUGGACCUCUUUGAUGACCACACUCAGAUUUAAGAACAACGACAAGAACACAAGAGAAUAAGGUGUUUAACACCUAUUGGCAGCCAACAAUCCCAAACUAUAUUAAUAAUAAUAGGAUGAAGAACAACAACAUUAUAACAACAAGAACAAUAUAGGUUACAAUACAAGACACUAUCAACGUCUACAACAAAAUAAAGAUGGAAAGAUAGAUAAAUGGAUGGUAUAAUCCUAAGAACCCAAGAGCUUAUUCCACUCUUGAACCCUUAACACUACACACAACUAUCACCUAUAUCUUACAAUUGACACAAGAGAGACGUCCACCACCCAAGUGCCAAUGUAUCUAGCAAAAUACAACACAUAAAUGAUUCCACACUUGUGCAAUGCCCUAGUUUCGGUUGGACUCUCUCUCACUCUAAGAGAAGUGUUAUUUCAAUAAUAAUAAUCAACUAAAGAAAUAAACCCUACAAUUUUCUAUUUAUACUACAUUACAAUAAUAGACCAAAUGACAAAAGGGCCCUUUAGUGACUAGUCUACAAUAAUACUCAAAAAGUGUCAUGAUCAUGAUCAUACUUGUAUCAACCUCCGAGAUCAUCGCACAAUCCCCGUAUAUACCUACGGAGCUAAAGCUUCUCGACGUAGUACCUAUGGGUGGUUCGUCAACCCAUUACAAUCCACAUAUCUCAUAUCUCCUUUUUGGUGCAUACCUCAGAAAUGGUUUUAUAAGGUGUUACAAUAUCUUUUAAAAAGGUGUUGCCAAUGUUUUUCAGAUGUUGCCACGGUGGUACCAAUGUUUCAUGAAUGAGUAUGAGAUAAAGAUGUAAUGCUCAUAACCAAUCAUAACAAGUAUUUCCACAACUAACCACAUGGUAUAUUUCCACAACCAACCACAAUGAUACAUUGCCAUAACCACAUAAGCCUAUUAUCCACUUAUUAUUUUUGUUUCAUCCAUGAAUUUCCACAUGUCUCAUAUAUCAAUUAGGUAUGAAUAUAAACACAAUACACCAACGGUACCAUAUUAAUCAUUUUAACAACACAAUAUAAUUAUUCACAUAUAUUCAAGGCUAUCCAUAUCACAUAUGACCCCACACGGUCACACAUAUCAUAUAAUAAUUCAAUUUCAAAAAUUACAUCACAUAUAGGCCCCCACACGGGCACAACACAUAAAUAGUCACUUUUCAAGAUUUUCUAGCCUUAACAUGCAUUCUGUAUCAUCAUUUACUACCUAGCCCAGUCUGAAAGAGUUAAGCCAUAACCUACCUCGAAAGCUGAAACCGAUUUGAUACACUUGAACCUGCGAUAUUACUUUUCACGAAUAAUCUCGAACUCCACUAAAAAUAUUAAAUAUGAAAUCUACGCAUCAAGACAAAACCAACGACACCCAUAUUGACUACUUUUGAUUUGGGGUCAAAGUGAACCCCCAAAGCGAAUUUCUAAAAAAGAAGGGUAAAAUUGGAAUUUUACUCCAAAAAUAUGUUUCCAUAUUUUUAGGGACCUACAUCUGAAAACUUAAGUUAAAUAGAGUAAAAAAUAGGGUUCAAAUUAAAGAAAAACUAUUUUUGAGAUUUACCGAGUAAAAUCUUUAAAAUCCGAGUUAAAAUCAAGAAUCGGAGUUGUUUUGAAGGUUAAAUUGAUGAAAAAUUAGUAAUUAUAAGAUAAAAAUAUUAUUCAAGUGAAAAGGAGUGAAAUUUGAGUUUAAAAUCAUGCCCUAAGAUUUUUAGAAUUUUGAGAAAUUAAUCAAGAAAUUACUAAGAAAAGAAUGAAUUCUUAACUUUAAUCCGUAAUAAAACCAAGAAAAAAAUGUUAAUCCAGCUUUUCUCAAUCUCUCACAAACUUUACUUUUAAGCUCACACACUAUUUUAGGGUUUAACUCCCAAGAUUAGAGCUGUGCAAAUCUUGGUACAAACCGUUAACCCAAAUCGUUAAUUUAUUUAUCGGGUUAACGGGUCAGUUAUUUUAAAUAGCGGGUCGGGUGUCGGGUUGAUAAUUUCUGUUAUUGGUUUAUUGGUUCGGGCCACGGUUUAAUUAUUUUUUAUCGGGCUACCGUUAACCCGAUAAAAUAAGGGUAAAAUUCUCAAGUAGCAUACUUAAGAGCCUAAUUACUAGUUUUAUAGCAACAGUUUCAUAAUUACAUUUUAUAGAAACUUUUAUUUUGUAUUUUUAAAAAAUGUUGCUGUAAAAAUACAUCUACAAAAAAAUUACUGCACUUAAUUAACUGAAAUUAGUUGAGCUAUAUAUGGUAUAAUUACCAAUCAAGUAAAUAUGUUGAUUACUUUUCUAUUUAAAACACUUAAAAAACGUGACAUCCGUUAUAAUCAAAUAAUUCAAAUUUCAGUUUUUCACCAUUAAUAACUGCAUAUUUUUUUUCAAUUUCUUCUAAACCAACCCUGUAUUGCUUAAUCAAAUUGAACUGAUUCUUAUACGAAAUUAACAGAAAUUGCAAAACGAAUCAGUUAUUCGAUUGAAUCAAAUUCAAUUGUUGAUUCAUCUGUUAUAUUUGUUUGAAUUCAACUAUCAGUUGAAAAUUCAACCAUUACUGUUGUUCAAGGUACAUAACCAUUAUUGCUAUUCAGUUCACUUUUUUUUUUACCAUUACUGAUGUGCACCAUUAUUGCUAUUCAGUUCAUUUUUUUUACCAUUACUAAUGUGCUUAUCAAGUUUUGGUUGUCGUCGUUAAUUUGUAUGUGAAAAAAUUGUAAAACAAAUUAUAGUUAUAAUCAAGACAACAGUAAAAUUGGAAUUCAAGUAUCUGUUACAAAUUUCAUCUUUAAAGUUGUUUCAAUGGAAAAAAAAUAUCAGUAUUCGACUCUAUUUUUGAUGAUCGUUUGUUGUUAUAUUGAUUGUUUUAACAAUAGAAUAAUUGUAAACAACUUUCAAAUUGAAAUACAUUCAAUUUUUUUUUGAAACACUAGAUAAUUGAUUGAACGAAUGUUUCUGUUGAAGUUGACAUUAUUCUAUGAACCCAGAUAAAAGUAUAAAAUAUCUUCAUCCAUAUGUAUUUUUGAUGUGUUUAAUGAUAACACUGCAUAUGUAUUUUUGAUAUUGUUAAUGGUAAUGGUGCAUAUGCAUUUUUUGUUUUGUUGUAGGAAUUUUGAUAUAUAAAUGUAUAUUUGCAAAAAUAUUUUAGUUUAAGGUAAUCUUGUGUGUAUGUAUUUUUUUAAUUGAGAUGUUGGUUGUGUAUCUUUGUUUGCACGUAAAUCUAAAAAGUGCGUGUUAUAAGAAGGGAUAUUUGACAAAUUGGUAUGUAACAUAUCAAAUUACAAAUUAGUUAUGCUCCAGAUGUAUUUUUUUGAUAUGCUUAGUUUUAGCAAUGCAUAUGUAUUUUAUAUGCGAUAUAUGUAAAUACUGCAUAUGUAUUUUUGUUUUGCUUGUGGGAAUUUGAGAGUAUAAGUUAAUAUGAUAAUAUGUUUGGUGCCUGUUUUACUUCUGUUUGAUCAAAUAGUUUGUGUAUUUUGUAUUUUAGAAAUGGGAAGCAUACCAGUCCUUGUGAAGCACUCUGGUCGAUGGACGUAUGAAAAGAACUUCGAAGAAUAUGUCACUGAUGCUAUACUGUUAAGCACAUCAGCCACAUUCGUUGAGCUGCAGGAUGUUUUGGCAUCUCACUUAAGUGUGGAUUUAACCAUCAAACGUAUUCUAGUGGAAUAUCAAAUCACUCCUAAUGUAGGGAAGAUAGAAAUACAUAAUGAUAUGGGUUUAAAAGUGUUUAUAUUGCAGAAAAAGUUGAUACAAGACAUGAAUUAUCUUCCUUUAUAUGUAAGCAUUUUGGAUAAAGUUGUAGGGAGCAACUUGGCAAGUUCAUCUAUAUGUGUUGCUGAAAGAGGAAUCAACUGUAACAACUUGAAAACAGUGAUAAAUACAAUAAAUGAAGGAGUUUUGGCGGUUUGUGAAAAUACAGAAGCUUUAGAUGUUUUUAAGAUGGAUCCUGUUGAGGUGAUUAUCUCAGAUCCACAUCAUAAGCAUGUUAAGGAAGACCAGGUUUACUUGAAAAAAAGAAUUUUAAAGUCAGUCAUGAAGGACUAUUUUCGUUGUUGAUUUUGUUCCUGAUACAUUUGAUUAUGAAGAACCCAAUUUUGCAAAGUUGAGUAUUAUUCAGAUGAGUUUUGUCGAUGACUUACUACUAUUUUGUAAAGGAAAUACAAUAUCUUCUUGUCUGUUAUAUGAGUGUUUCAAGGAAUUUUCUGCAGCUUUAUUAGUAGCAAAUCAAGCAAAGAGCAACAUCUACUUUGGUGGGGUGGCUGACAACAUUCAACAAGAAAUACUUCAUAAACUAGGUUUCUCUCUUGGCCAUAUUCCAUUUAUGGAAUCUAAGCACAAAGAAUGACAGAUUGUGGAUAAGAUGGGUGGAUGCAUAUUACUUAAAGGGCAGAAAACCAUAGGAGGUAGCAACUAAGCAGGCGUCCUGGAUAGUCCAAAAAAUAAUGACAGCAGGUAGGUGGCUUGAAGGAACUAGAAUGGAUAUUGAAGACAUCAUGAUAGCUGAGUCUUUCUCAAUCAAAAGCCUAUAUACCAAACUAAGGGGUCAAUACCCCAAAGUCGAACGGAGGAAGCCUAUCUGCAACAACAAAGGGAGCAACAAAUGGAAGUUCAUCUACUAUCUUGCAAUCAAUAAGUGACUCUAUAUAAAAGAUAGAUUUGAUAAGUGGGGCAUUCAUAUGAAUCGGGUGUGUGGACUGUGUGAAGAGGAACCUAAGGACCAUAAUCACCUUUUCUUCAUUUGUCGUGUAUCUACAGGUAUAUAGUAGAAGGUGCUACAAUAGCAAGCAAUCCCCAGAGGCAACAUGGGGUAAAAAGAUGAGCUAAGAUGUGCUACAAUUCAUGCAAAAGGCAAGAGUGCAACAAGUGAGAUUUUUUGAAUGAGUCUGGCAGCCACUGUAUAUCAUAUAUGGUUGGAGAUGAAUCAAAGAAACUUUCAGCAAAAGAAGAAGGCACCUGAGGUACUAGUGAGGAUGAUCAUCCAGGAAAUACACUAUAGAGCAAGCUUGUAUCCAAAACUAAUAGGCAGCAUGAUUAAAUAUAACUUUUAUCCCUAAAUAUGUGAAGUUUCUAAAGUAAUUGUGUGAGUUGUACAGCCUGAGGUUGGGACGAUGUCCAACCCAGACUUGAACUUUGAUCAGAUUGCUAUAUAAGGUAAUAAAAUCCAGUUACCCAAAAAAACUCAUAUAAAUUGAAACAAAUGUAGUAAUUUAUAUUUUGAUAAUUCUAAAAGCAUAAUUUAUAUUCAAAAUUAGUUGUUUUUGUUAGGGUCGAAAUGAUAGGGUGUCAUUCGGAAUCUAAUAAUUUGCAAAACAUUAGACGAUAAAUCAGACGACAAAGAAGUCAUACUAAAAACAUAAUUAUUAUAUGAUUUAGCCAAUUGGCCUGCAUAUGAAAACCUAAUAUAAAAGAAAGCAUAAAAACUAUUAGAGGAAACCUUUCUCUAAACAAAACUCUUAAACGACUACAUUGUGGAUGCUAUUAUGUUAUGGUAUAAGAAGGAGGUUUUCUAUUUAUAGAGUUCCAAACUUUUGUAAUAUCCCAUAUUUUCCUAGCUUAGUUUAGCUUUCAAUAAACAAGAAUUUCUAUAUAAAAUUUUUAAUACACUUAGAAUUUUUUAGUUUAAGACUUACCAAAGUGUAGAAAAUUUAGUCAGCUUUCCAACAAUAUAAAGUUCGUCCAAAUUUGAUAUCCGGCUGAGAAGUUAUGGCCCUUUUAGUAAAACAGUAUGUCAAAUUAAGCAUCAUAGCGUCGCGGAGAGGCCAAAAGCAUUCGACAGUUUCCAGUGAGACAUCGCGAUUCCAACACAUCGUGGUGAAGUCCCAGUUCCCAAUUGGCUUUUUCUAGUGUGUCAACGCAAUAAUGGCGCGUCGCGCCAGAGUGUUAUUUCGCAACUGUCACUUUCUAGUAAGGCUCCGUGAUACCUCCGUGUCAUGCCAAAGUGCAUUUUCGCACUCGUCCUUGGACUGCACUAGCUGACAAAAUCCAGUGUGAAAGCCAAAAUUGGGAUUUUCAAUGAUGGAAAUUUAAUUUUUUAUAGGAAUUUGGUCUUUUUCCAUGGCCCUAAUCAGUCUAAACACGAGAUUAAACCCCUAAUAACCUUGUUAAGUCACUAUUCUAUUCAAUUUCCCCUAAAAUCAAGAGCACUCUCUCAAUUAACAAAAUCCUAGCCUUCAAGAAUCAAGAGCAAUCCUCAAGAAUUCCACCAAGAAACUUCAAAAACUCAUCUUUCCAGGUAUGUUAGGUGUUCAUUCAUGGGCCCUUACCACUCAUGGAGUCCAAGAACCCUAUUUAAAAAUACAAGUUUUCAGAUUUAUGAUUUUCAUGCCUAAAUUUGAUUGUAUUUAUGAUUAUGAUGUUGUUUGGGUUUCAAUCCAUGAUUAAUUACAAGUAUCAUGAAAUUAAGAUAGCAUGUGUGGUGAAUUAUGUGAUUCUCAUGUUAAAUCCUUAAAUUUAUAAGUUGAAUGUUGUAGCUAUGAUAUUUAUAUAUGUUUAUUAUUAUGUGAAAUAAUCAUGCUCCCCAAGUGUUUGUUAGAAUGCCUAUGUGAAUUGAAUAGUGCAAUCAUGACAAGUUAGCAUGUGUUCCCAUUCUUGUACAAGUUCAUGCCUUGCAAGUGUUUGACAAAAUAUCUCAAUGAAUAAAUCAUGACUAAGUGACUAGCUAGUAUGCUUUCAAGAUUGUGCCAUGUCUUACUAUUGAUGCUAUCGAGUCCUGGGGGUAUUUAAUACCCAAAAUCUAGUUGUUUACCUAAAAUUACAAUAGCUAUAGAAUAGUCCCAUUAACGUCAUGAAUAGUAGUACUCAUUCAGUUUCAGAAUUCAGUGAACUCAGUCUAGUUCAGUUCAAUUUAAUAAUCAAUGUCAUUCAGUUAGGAGUAGGAUUCAGCACCGAGCGAACCUAAGGAUGGGGGCUCACCUGUCAGUAGAGGGUGUGACCCUUAGUAGUAGCUCUUAGGUUCCAGAACUAUGUAGCCAGCGUAGGUUGAGAUAUUAACCUGUCAAUUGAGGGUUGAUAAGGUAUUUUACCUACCAGUUGAUGGUAAUACCGUUCUCAUUAAGGCACCUGCCAGAUGAGGGUGACUCUGUAGCCUGUUAGUACCCGUGACACGGUACUGAACCCUUCCAACUGGAGUUACAGGUUGGACCCCAAUCAAUUUAGAAAGGGGCAUGUCGGCUAGAUGAUUACCUUCCAUAGUUUCAGUUUCAGUCUCAGCAUAGAACUCAGUUCAGUUCUACAAAAUCAGUACUGUCAAAAAUAGUCACUCAGUUAUCAGUAAUUCAGUUGUCAGUAAUCUCGGAGAUUAGUUACUCAGUUAUCAAAACUCAGUACUCAGUUUUAGUAUAAAUCUCAGACACAGUAUGUAUGUAUAUGCACAAUAAUGCAUAAUCGGUGUUUAGGCUUGAUAUUUUGAUACCGGGGCGUGUUUUAGCAUUUGUGGAUGCUAGAUCUUCUUUGAUGGAGCAGAUUUGAACUCAUUGGUUUAAUGGUGUUAGAUUGAGGUUGAUUCAAGAUAAAGUAUUGAGUGGGGAGAAUAAGGAAGCCUCACUUGAUUCAGAUGCAGUUUUAAGGAUUAGGGGCUGAGUUUGUAUGCCGAGAGUGGUGAUUGGUUAGGUUGAUCUUGCAGGAGGCCCAUUGUUCAAGAUAUUCUAUUCAUCCAGGUGUGACUAAGAUGUAUCGUGAUUUCAGACAACACUACUAGUGGGGUGGUAUGAGGCAAGAUACAGAGGAUUUUUUACCUCGUUGCCAUUAUUGCUAGUAGGUGAAGUCCGAGCAUAUGAGACCUGGUGAGUUGUUUUAGAGGUUACCCAUUCUCGAGUGGGAGUGGGAAUGGAUCACUAUGGACUUUGUGACUGGUUUUCCUCAUACAUCUCAUAGUUCUAACAGUGUUUGGGUCAUCAUUGAUACCAAAUAGUCCACAAGUGACCCGUAAUGACCCACAACAAGAAAGACACUAAACACACAAGGAAGCAAGCACAAACUUAACGAUAACGAAGAUAGAUAACUUGACACAAGGAGAACAUGAAGAGUAGUAACUAAAGAGUAUAUUAAACUCUAAAACCCUUACAAAACACGUUAACAAGAACCAAGUUCUUAUGUGAUCGCCAAGGGAAUCAACUCACCUCAAGAUCCACCAUUUCCAAGCAAAGAACAAUAUUGGAUUUUCCAAGCCCUAAACUACAAUGGUUAAUCCAAACCCAAACUAAGAACUACACUAAGGUGGUAAUUCUCAAGAGAGAGGAUUUUCAAUGUUUCAUACAGUCUUCAUUCAUAAACUAAUAAGAGAAGACCUAAAAUGUCCUAUUUAUAGUAUAUUACAAAAAGAGACAAAAUGACUGUACUACCCUUAAUGAUAGAGGUGGCCAUGGAGUGCAUUUUGGGAAAAGUGAAGUGACCAAAAUGUCCUCAAUGAAGAUGACUCCAAAACCGUGAGCCAUUGAGUGUCCAAAUCCAUGAGUCCUCAAGUCUUCAAUGCUCCAAGCAAUCUUUCACUCAUUACCUUGAUGUAUGGUAUGCUCAAUGGUAUACUCAAAAUGGCUCUUCCAUGCAUGUUUUCGUAUCCUCGAGGUGAUCAAGUCUUGAGCUUCUAUGUGUUGGCCUCCAAAGUUGUCAUCAAAAGAUAAUAUGACCAUUUGUCCCGUAUCAUCCUCCCCUUCUUGAAAAGGAUUUGACCUCGAAUCCAUACCUUGCAAAAUCGACUAGAGGACAAACAAAUACAAAGUCCUCAUAGUACGAGGGUUAGGGUUGGCACAACAAAUCAUCUCAACAUGCCAAGGUUGCACAUAUUUAUAAUAUAACCAAGGAUUCUUUGAAUAAAAUAUUAAAAACUUAAUGAAAUAUGUACGAAAGAUUUGGUUAUGGGAUUCACUAAGAGUGACACUUUGCUUGUCAUGUAGACCAAGCAACAAGUUGGGUGCACCAACAUCACCAUUUCUAUAUUUGGCACCGGGGUCAAAUAGGAAGAGUGGCCAUAGACACGGGUCUAGAAAACACUCUCCUUUCCUGUGGUAUCCACCCAAACUAAAUGACAUACUCUUUAUAAUAGCAUACAUAUCAUCCAAAACAAAUAGAGAGUAGAGAAAAGUAUCACUUAAUCGACUUCUAAUAAGGUGCCCUCAAGUGUGUGCUCACUACUAGUUUCUCAAUCAUCACCAUGAGUACUCUCAACAAUAAAGUCACACAAAGUAGAAGAAGGAGUAAUUUCUAAGACUAUAAAUUCCUCACUCUUAAGAGUACUCUCAUCUUCUAAGAAGAGAUUUCCAUCUUUAGGAGGAAUGUUGUCACACCAUAGUGGGUUAACAUAUAGGCUAUAGCCUCCAAGGUAAGCUAUACCAUAUUUUUCACCACUAGGCUCAUUAGGAGUAUCGAUAUCAUCUUCAAAUAAGACAUUAUACCUAAAGAGUGCAUGAUCCAACCCACGGGAAGAUUUGGAACAAGCAAGUUCCUCACUCUCUAAAAGAUCAAUAUCAAGUUUUAAAGAGGUUUCAAGCAUAAUAUUGUCCCAAGAAUGGAUCUCGGGUUCACUCCUAUUUUGUUGACCAAUAUUUUUAAGUAUUUCACUCACUUGAGUUCUAUUAAUUACAUCACACACAUACUCAAGUGGUGGACAAGUUUCACAAAUAAGUUGGUCAACAUAAUUUUCACACAAUGAUGUACUUGUAUUCAAGGCAAUAGCUUCAACACUAGGUGGACACAAGUCAAUCUUACAAAAAGAGUCAACUCGGUCAUCUAUAGGAUAAAAUAGUGUAUCCAAUCGCACAACAUGUACAUCAUCCACAAGUGGAAAAAAAUCAAUAUACUCACUUGUAGGUAUGCUAUUACUCGCACUCAACUGCUUAUUAGCCACAUGAUCAUCAUCACAUACUCCAAGGUGUAAGGGUUAGCUAUUUUACCUUGACGUUCAUGAGUAUGUUUGUCUUUACCUCGAUGUGAAAGUCCGUCACAAUCUUGGGCAGAAACUUCAUUCAGGAAGAUCUUAUCGCAAGUUGUUUGGACAAUUGGAUUUUGAGGGAAGAAUUUGGGUAACAAUUGGCGUAUAAUUUCAAUGUGCCAUUUCAUAUCUUCUAGAUCCUCAUUGAUGUGAUCACAUGUGGCUUUGAAAUUAUGGGAAGCCAUGGUAC